GGAAUCAUCAGCAUACAUGCAUGGAUAGUGAUGAAAACAGCAGCAGAAACAAGACUGAGUUUAAAAUUCAGUCAGAAAACGCAACAUGUUGAUCACCGUCUGCUGCAUCACCUUGAAUUUUAUCAUGGUUUCAGGUUCCUCUCUAAGUGACCAGAUCAGACAGAUUCCAGACCAGAUGUUCUACAAACCUCAAGAAACAGCCAAAAUAACCUGUUCCCACAGUAUUCAAGACUAUGAUAGAAUCCUCUGGUACAAGCAGACAAAGAGACAACUAGAAUUCCUGGGAUACAUGCUUGGAGACAGUGGAUCUCCUGAGAAAACUGGAGUGGAAGAGACUGUGAAGAUAGAAGGGAAUGCAAACAAAGACAAGAACUGCACAUUAACAAUUGAAGGACUCAAACUGAGCAGCAGUGCAGUUUACUUCUGUGCUGCUAGUUAACACAGUGCUACAUAUCACUGAUCCUCUGUACAAAAACCUCCCAGUCACAUGACACCACCCACCUCAAGCCUUCAUGUUGGUUUGCUGAUAGGAGGGUCUACUCACAGAGGAGGCUGGAAAUAAUCAGUAUAACUACUGACAGACUGACAAUACCUUUCAUAU